GGAGAAGUACCCAAGAGGCCGAAGGGGGCGGUUUGCUAAACCGUUAGCAGGUGUAUAGCCUGGCUCGGGUUCGAAUCCCGACUUCUCCGCCA
rnacentral:tRNA from 1 species